rnacentral:rRNA from 1 species
UACGUAGGGUGCAAGCGUUGUCCGGAAUUAUUGGGCGUAAAGAGCUCGUAGGCGGUCUGUCGCGUCUGCUGUGAAAACUCGGGCUUAACCCCGGCCUGCAGUGGGUACGGCAGACUAGAGUGCGGUAGGGGAGACUGGAAUUCCUGGUGUAGCGGUGAAUGCGCAGAUAUCAGAGGACACCGGUGGCGAAGGCGGGUCUCUGGGCCGUAACUGACGCUGAGGAGCGAAGCAUGGGAGCGAACAGG